GACGAACGCUGGCGGCGUGCCUAAUACAUGCAAGUAGAACGCUGAAGAGAGGAGCUUGCUCUUCUUGGAUGAGUUGCGAACGGGUGAGUAACGCGUAGGUAACCUGCCUUGUAGCGGGGGAUAACUAUUGGAAACGAUAGCUAAUACCGCAUAACAAUGGAUGACACAUGUCAUUUAUUUGAAAGGGGCAAUUGCUCCACUACAAGAUGGACCUGCGUUGUAUUAGCUAGUAGGUGAGGUAACGGCUGACCUAGGCGACGAUACAUAGCCGACCUGAGAGGGUGAUCGGCCACACUGGGACUGAGACACGGCCCAGACUCCUACGGGAGGCAGCAGUAGGGAAUCUUCGGCAAUGGGGGCAACCCUGACCGAGCAACGCCGCGUGAGUGAAGAAGGUUUUCGGAUCGUAAAGCUCUGUUGUAAGUCAAGAACGAGUGUGAGAGUGGAAAGUUCACACUGUGACGGUAGCUUACCAGAAAGGGACGGCUAACUACGUG
rnacentral:rRNA from 1 species